GGGUGUCUUCUCAGGUGUAUAUGAAGUUUCUGUGUAUGUAUUGAUGAUUGUAGUGUGAGUGUCAAUGUGAGAAUUGAGAUUGUAUGCCAAUGGUGAAAUGGGUCUAGUGUUGUUGUGUUGUUCUUAAAGAAUGGAAGAAUGAAAUGUGAGGUUUAUUUCAUGAAAAUGGUGAGGUGUGUGUUGUUAUUGUGUGUUGGUUGAGAAGAAAGAA
rnacentral:lncRNA from 1 species